CUGACGCGGGAGGGCGGGCAGGGCCGUGGGGCGCGCGCGGGAAGGGACUUGUGGGAAGGAAGGGAGCGGAAAGGCCGAGCGCCACCCGCCCCGGGAGUCUCCAGAGCAGCGCGCGGGGCAGACCUCCUCGGGUCCUCCGGCGCUUCGGUCUCCGGAGACGCCCGGCCUCCUGAAGGGUUCGGCUUGUCCUCCUCUGGCGCUCAGCUCCCUCUGGCGGCCGGGCUGGCAGGACCUCAGCGCCCAGCCCUUCCGUCUUGUUACGUCCAGGGUCUCACUCUGUGUCUCAGGCUGGAGUACAGUGGUGCAAUUGUAGAUGGCUGCAGCCCUCGACCUCCUGGGCUCAAGUGAUCCUCCUGCCUUAGCCUCUCGAGUAGCUGGGAGUACAGAUGCACACCACCACACCCAGCCUAGAAUGAAGAAACCUGCAGUUGGGAAGCAUGAAUUUACCACCUAUUAAGGCACUGGUUUACUGAGACAAUUCAAAACACACAUUCAUUUUGUGUGCUUAUGAAAUAUAUCCCAAGAAAAUGGAAACAACUCUGUCCUUGACCUUCAAAAAGAAAUUGACUUACCUAGCUUAACUAUUCAAACAAACAACUGUGUACUCUCUUCAAUUCCGAUGAUGAUUUUGAUUUACUGUAAAUGACUGAAUUUAAUGAACUAAAUUAUGCUAUUUAAAUGCAUUUUGUGAAUGGUAUUGUAGUUUGUUACAAAGCAUUAUGUCCAUGCUAAAUUGUGCUGUAAAUGAUAUGGUAUGGAACAUAUGUGCUGUAUUCAUAAUUUAACUGUUGCUGUGGAUUGCCUUCUUGGAUAGGACACAUUGAAAAAAGGAGCCUUUAUUUACCUGGUGAAAUGAAGGUGAUAUCUCAGCAAAUCACUAGGUCUUACUGACCUUGGCAGAAUUACAGUGCUAAUAUUUUCACAUGGAUGAACUGUUCUUAAACAAUUUCUCUAAUGUAUAUGGCAGAAAUCGGCUUUCCAUUAAAACUAGGUAUAUAUGGUAUAUUUUCUCUUUCCAU
rnacentral:lncRNA from 10 species